rnacentral:rRNA from 1 species
AGUGAACGCUGGCGGUAGGCCUAACACAUGCGAGUCGAACGGCAGCACAGUAAGAGCUUGCUCUUACGGGUGGCGAGUGGCGGACGGGUGAGGAAUACAUCGGAAUCUACUUUUUCGUGGGGGAUAACGUAGGGAAACUUACGCUAAUACCGCAUACGACCUACGGGUGAAAGCAGGGGAUCUUCGGACCUUGCGCGAUUGAAUGAGCCGAUGUCGGAUUAGCUAGUUGGCGGGGUAAAGGCCCACCAAGGCGACGAUCCGUAGCUGGUCUGAGAGGAUGAUCGGCCACACUGGAACUGAGACACGGUCCAGACUCCUACGGGAGGCAGCAGUGGGGAAUAUUCGGCAAUGGGCGAAAGCCUGAUGCAGCCAUGCCGCGUGGGUGAAGAAGGCCUUCGGGUUGUAAAACCCUUUUGUUGGGGAAGAAAAACAGUGUGAUUAACCCUCCCCGUUUUGACGGUACCCAAAGAAAAAGCCACGGCUAACUUCGUG